AGUGUAAUUGCUGGAUCAUCUGGUAAUUAGCUGCUUAAUUAUUUGAGGAAUUUCUAUGAUGUUUUCCACAGUAGCUGUACCAUUUUAAAUCCCCACAAACUAU
rnacentral:pre_miRNA from 1 species